GCGUUCGAGGCGAGUCCGGCUGCUCCGGCACUUUGACCUCCCGGGAGCGGGGCCAGGGUGAGCUUGGGGAUGGAUGGACCAUCCUCCUCCAGCAACUGGGGCUGAGGCUAUCUCCCCCGAAGCGGGAGUGAAGGCUGGACCCUUCUGGACCCAGGCUGAAGCGUGGUCCAUCCUGUUCGGUGGCCAGGCUGCCUGCCCUCUCCUGCCGCCUCCAGGCUGGAGCAGGGGCUAAACCUUCUGGUCGUAUACCCACACUGGGACUGGGCUCUGCUCCUGAGGCCACAGCUCAGCAAUCUGCCCUCCACCUCCCCCUGGGCCCACCUGCUCCCCCACCUACCCACAGGCCAGCCUGGGGCGCUGUGGCGUUGAAGGCUGCAGGCUUUUCCCACUCCCCAUCCCGGGAGCGGCCCCACCCUUUCCCCUCACUGCCUGCAGUCACUACCCCCUCAGCAGCUGUGUGCCCUCAGCAUAUGUCGCUUAGGGCCUCCCUCCUCUCCCCACCCAGCUGAGCAGUUGGAACAGACAGCCAGGCUGCCCAGAAGACUAUUUAGUGCGGCUUCUGGCCUGAAGUGUAAACCUACUAGCAAAGCCUGCCCUUUCUUCCCUCUACACCCCUGACCCACAACGUGGCCCUCCCCAACCCUCAGAUCCCUGGGUUUGGUGAAUCCUGCAGAGAGUGAGCAGUAGCAGGACUCAGCAAAGCUUCCAGCUUGUCACCUGGAAGGUCACUUUCUUUUGAGCAAAGGAGAUUAUGGGAGGUACCCUGCCAGUGUUCACUGAGAGCCGGGGGUGGCAUGAGCCACAGUUGCUCUGGGAGGGUUGUGGCACCUGGGGCUGGGUGGCUCGCCCUAAGCUUGCUCUGACAAAAGAGUUUUGAGUUGGUCUUUUGGCUGAGCCUGCCAAGGAAGGCAGGCUCCUGCAGGAGUCUUGGAGGGUCGGAUUCAGCGCCGGAUGAGGAUGAGGCGUGGCGGAAGAUGCGUUUGGCUCUGCAGACACUGCAUCGGGCAGCAGGGGACUCUGGGAGGCUGGUGCAGCCAGAAGGCAUGGCUCUUGACAGCCUUCUAGUAGAAUCUCUGGAAUUGUGCAUCCUCGUCAGCAACAUCAUAAGAGAAUGUGGAGCAACCCACGUAGCACCGAGUACAUCGAGGCUCCUCAGGCAAGAGCAGGAGUCAGAGAUAGUGGGAACUGUGCCAGAUGGCCAUCCAAAGCCUGAGUGUUCUCACCUGCCAGUUCUGCUGUCUUUUGGUCGCUCUUGGACCACUGAGCCUGCAAUCCAGGUUCCCCCCACCUCCACCCAGUCUGUGCAGACUUGCUGCCUGCUAUGUCAUCGGGAACGCAAAGGCUGGGAAGAAGGCCCUUCCCAAAAUGGACUGGUGUUGCAGGGUGAGAAGCUGCCCCCUGACUUCAUGCCAAAGCUUGUCAAGAAUCUCCUAGGCGAGAUGCCUCUAUGGGUCUGCCAGAGUUGCCGAAAGAGCAUGGAGGAAGAUGAAAGGCAGACAGGUCCAGAGCAUGCAGUGGCGAUCUCCUUGUCACACACAUCCUGCAAAUCACAGUCUUGUGGGGGUGACUCUCAUUCCUCUUCGUCCUCCUCUUCAUCGUCCUCGUCCUCCUCCUCCUGCCAUGGGAACUCAGGGGACUGGGAUCCCAGCUCCUUCCUGUCAGCACAUAAGCUCUCGGGCCUCUGGAACUCUCCGCACUCCAGUGGGGCUGUGCCGGGUAGCUCACUCGGGAGUCCUCCUACCAUCCCUGGUGAGGUUUUCUCUAUCUCGGAGCACCACCGGCACUCAGACCUCACUGCUCCACCUAACAGCCCCACCGGCCACCACCCGCAGCCAGCGUCACUGAUCCCAUCUCACCCCGGAUCCUUUGGCUCACCACCCCACCCACACCUGCUGCCUGCUACCCCAGCAGCACCUUUCCCUGCCCAGGCUUCAGAAUGCCCAGUUGCCGCUGCUGCCGCCCCCCACACCCCAGGGGCAUGUCAGAACCCUCACCUGCCCUCCACCAGCAUGCCGCUCCUGAAGAUGCCUCCACCAUUCUCAGGGUGCAGCCACCCCUGUAGUGGGCACUGCAGUGGGCACUGUGGUGGGCCUCUCCUCCCACCUCCCAGCUCUCAACAACUCCCUAGCACUCACAGCAGGGAUCCUGGGUGCAAAGGGCACAAGUUUACACACAGUGGCCUGGCCUGCCAGCUGCCCCAGCCCUGCGAGGCAGAUGAGGGCCUGGGUGAGGAAGAGGACAGCAGCUCAGAGCGCAGCUCCUGCACCUCAUCCUCCACUCAUCAGAGAGAUGGAAAGUUCUGUGACUGCUGCUACUGUGAGUUCUUCGGCCACAAUGCGCCACCCGCUGCCCCGACGAGUCGGAAUUAUACAGAGAUCCGGGAGAAGCUCCGCUCGAGGCUGACCAGGCGGAAAGAGGAGCCGCCCAUGAAGGGGGGCGCCCUGGGCGGGAUCCCUGGGGAGCCCGCCGUGGACCACCGAGAUGUGGAUGAGCUGCUGGAAUUCAUCAACAGCACGGAGCCCAAAGUCCCCAACAGCGCCAGGGCCGCCAAGCGGGCCCGGCACAAGCUGAAAAAGAAGGAAAAGGAGAAGGCCCACUUGGCAGCAGAAGCUCUAAAGCAGGUGAAUCGAAGUGUUUCUGGAAGCCGGGAGCCAAGGCCUACCAGGGAGAGGCUCUUGGAGUGGCCUGACCGGGAGCUGGAUCGGGUCAACAGCUUCCUGAGCAGCCGUCUGCAAGAGAUCAAGAACACCGUCAAGGAUUCUAUCCGUGCCAGCUUCAGUGUGUGUGAGCUCAACAUGGACAGCAAUGGAUUCUCUAAGGAAGGGGCUGCUGAGCCAGAGCCCCAGAACCUAUCCCCCUCAAACUUCAAUGGCUCAUCAGAGCAACGGCCUGACAUUAACCUUGACCUGUCCCCUUUGACUUUGGGGUCCUCUCAGAACCACACGUUACGAGUUCCAGGUGAGCCAGCCCCACCAUGGACAGAAAUGAGAGGCUCUCACCCACCAUGGACAGAGGUGAGGGGGCCCCCUCCCGGUAUCAUCCCUGAGAAUGGGCUGGUGAGGAGACUCAAUGCAGUGCCCAAUCUUUCCCGGGUGAUCUGGGUCAAGACACCCAAGCCAGGCAACCCUAGCCCUGAGGAGCCAAGCCCAAAGGAGGUUCCCAGUUUCAAGCAGGAGCUAUCUGAGCCUGUGGCCUCAAGUGGAAAGCCGCGGAAGGGCAAGAGACAGGGCAGUCAGUCCAAGAAGAAUGAGGCGAGCCCAGCCCCCCGGUCCCCAGCUAGCCUUGAGGCUCCCAAUGCCAAGGGCCAGACCCCCAGCUCCAAGCACCCAGGCAAGGCCCCAGAGCCUUCCAAGGUGGGCAGCUGUGCUGAGGCUGGAGAGGGGAGCCAGCCAGGACCAGGCUGGGCUGGCAGCCCCAAAGCUGACGAGAAGGGCAGCUCCUGGCGAAACUGGCCAGGCGAGGCCAAAGCACAGCCUCUGGAGCAGGAGUCUAUGCAGCCCCCAGGCCCAGCAAGGCCACAAAGCUUGCCACAGGGCAAGGGCCGCAGCCGCCGGAACCGCAACAAGCAGGAGAAGACGGCCGCCUCCUUGGACGAUGUGUUCCUGCCCAAGGACAUGGAUGGGGUGGAGAUGGAUGAGACUGACCGGGAGGUGGAAUACUUCAAGAGGUUCUGUUUGGAUUCUGCAAAGCAAACUCGUCAGAAAGUUGCUGUGAACUGGACCAACUUCAGCCUCAAGAAAACCACUCCCAGCACAGUUCAAUGAGGUCCUUUUGUGUGAAAUACUGACAUAUCAGAUGAUGUUCUGGACUGAGAACAGAAGACCGAGAACCAUAAUGCAGGAGAGAAGGGUGGCUGGCAGGCAAGCAGGCCUUGAUGGAAACCAAAGGCCAGAGUCUGGGCUCUUACACUACCCUGCCUUGGAAAGAUGCAUUACAGGAGAGCUGUUCCUGGCAGAGUCUUAACCUGCGUCCUCUGCUGUAGCCCCUGCCGGGUCAAGCUUCUUCAGGGUGUCCUGAGACCCCAACUGCCAACUGAAAGUCUGCAGUUUCUUCUUCCACAUCCCUACGCCCCUGCCCAAGAUCCUUCCUGCUCCUCGCCAUCUUGGACCAACCAAAAGUUGAAUGGAUGCUGUGCUGUGCUGGGGCCUCUCAGGACCUCCGCAGAGCCACUUCCUGGUGCUAUGCAGCCUCCUCACUCAGAGCCUGGGGGCUGGACUGGCCUGUGGGCUAGGGGCUGAUGGUACUGCUGGCCCAACACUGCUCUCUUUGUGUUUGUUUUUGUUCUUGUUUUUCAAUUCUUUACUUUUGAUACUGUGAAGAUCUUUCCUGCCGAAAGAUAAAACAACAUUUGGACACAGA